GUGAAUCAUCGAAUCUUUGAACGCACAUUGCGCCCCUUGGUAUUCCGAGGGGCAUGCCUGUUCGAGCGUCAUUACAACCCUCAAGCACUGCUUGGUAUUGGGCCCCGCUGCUUAACGCCGCGGGCCUUAAAAUCAGUGGCGGCGCCGCUGGGCUCUGAGCGUAGUAAAUUUCCUCGCUACGGAGACCUGGCGGUGGUAGCCAUCAACCCCCAACUUUCUAAGUUUGACCUCGGAUCAGGUAGGGAUACCCGCUGAACUUAAGCAUAUCAAUAAGCGGAGGA
rnacentral:misc_RNA from 1 species